UCCUUUCUCCCAACCCCCUCUACACCUCACAGGAUGGAAGCUCAGGAUGAACAGUCAAAUCCUUUUAAAGGGCCAGUCACGCCUGUCUGAGGUGAGCCCUCUCUGGUCUUAGAAUGAGGCGACUAAUCCCAUAGGCCAGGAAUUUAUUUUGUUUUAUUUUAUAAAUGAAAUACCCCAGAUUUUUUGAGCUCCCUAUACUGGGUAUGACUUUAAUGUGCAAGACAUUUUUCUUUAAAUUAAUUGAAGACAGAGUCACCUGUGAAAGCACGGAGAUCAGGGGCCUGGCCAACUUUUACCAUGAACUAACAAAUUAAGGACACUGGAUAUUACACAAUAUUACGGUCACCAGCAGAGAUUUGAAUGUUUCCUUAUAAAAAUGACAUUAGGAGAAAUGUCAAAAACCUUCUACAACCAAGGGAAGUCUCUACAGGAAGUGGUAAUUUUAUGUGAUGUUGGCAAUAUAAUGGUGCUGACCCAUAAGUCCCUCUGGAUGGUCACUUUAUGUCUAAGGAGUCCAGUGGAUUCUCCAUCCCAAAGUGUAUUGACCAAUGAUCUGCUGAUUGACUCAGAGACCAAUCUGAAAGAACACCGUGAGGAAAGAGAAAAAGAAGACACACUAGGACUCUUUAAGAGAAAACCAGGGCUUAUGACUCCUUCACAAGACAGUCACAACAAUGUCUCCAAUUGUUUGGCCUGGUGAAAUCUAUUCCUCCAUUGUAGAAGCCUUCAAAGAACUUGCUCAGUGCAGGAUGGGGUGAGAAGUCAAGUAAGGCCUUGGACACUAUGCUUUUAAGAAAAGAAUCAAACAAGAAGUAUCUAGCAAACCUGGGGUCAAAGUGAAGAAAGUGAGAAACUAUACCAAGAAAAUCAAUCUGAUUAUUUGGAAGAACAGGGACAGGGGCAGGAAGCUAAGUGCCAUGAAGAACAAAGAAACAAACUAGGGGCAAAAACACACUUAAGAAUAAUUUCAUAGGUUUUUGAAGUCAAAAGAGUAAUUAGUGAGAGUAGGUAUGGGGGAUGGAGUAGAAAAUGGAGUAUAAUCCAUCCUUCACAGCAUCCCAAGUCCCGUCAUUUCAUUUUAAUUGAUCUACUAGGAACUCUGUGAUACACCAGUAGGAUCCAAAAUCCUCCAUCCAUAGUAUCUGGUGCUCUCAAAAGAUAAGAGUAAUAAUCCCAGGGUAAGACCAACAGACAAGAGAAGAGAGGAGAGGGAAUCUGAGGCUAGAAUGGAAUCAAUCCAGAAGAGACCUCUCAUUUAUGAAACGACAGUAUCCAAGGACUUUAUUGUAGACUCUCCUCCCCAAAGUGUAUUCACCAUGGGUCUUCUGAUUAACUUAGAAAUGACCCUGUAAGAAGACAAUGAGGGAAGGGAAGGGAAGAGGUUGAAAAACCAGGACAUUUGAGGAACAUUACUGAAAAUCAAAGAAUUGGUGAGUGCCAUCAGUCCAUCUGCAUCAGACUAGUGCUAAAGAUAAAUCACUUUUUUGUCCUUUGGCCCUGUAACCUAAGUUAGGGAAGAUUGAUGGGAAGUUGAGAAUGCAAGAGGAAGAUCUAGCUCAAAAUAGUUUGGCCUUUCAUCUAUGAACAAGGCCCCAACAAGAUGUUUAGAAGAAAAAACAAAAAUGUCCCAGAAAUGGUGCCCUCUUCCUUUGAGGCGGACUUGAGCACCAAUCUCCUCCUAUGACUGUGCUGUGUGCCCUUGACUUCAUGGAGAGACUGAGGAAGAAUUUGGCUUCCAGUAGGUUCAUAAGAGUCAGAGGAACCUCACAGAUCAUCUUGUCCAAGCUCUUCAUUUUACAGUCCAUAAAACUAAGGCCCAAAUGGGUAAAACAACUUUUUCUGAGGUUUCAUUGAUAAUAUUUGAAUCAGGAUCAGAAUUCAAUUCCUCUAACUUUAAUGCAGCGCCCUUUUCUCAGGCCACCUCAAAGUUACUAUGUUUUCAGUGUGGUACAAUUAUAUUAAAAAUAAUAAUGGGAGCUAGCAUUUAUCUAGUGCCUACUAUGUGCCAGGUGCUG